UCGAGAAUCUUUCACAAUGGGGGCAACCCUGAUGGAGCGACGCCGCGUGGAGGAUAAGGUCUUCGGAUUGUAAACUCCUGUCAUGCGAGAACAAGGCUGCGGGGUUAAUAGCUCAUGCAGAUUGAUGGUACCGCAAGAGGAAGAGACGGCUAACUCUGUGCCAGCAGCCGCGGUAAUACAGAGGUCUCAAGCGUUGUUCGGAAUCACUGGGCGUAAAGGGUGCGUAGGUGGCGUGGUAAGUCAGAUGUGAAAGCCCGGGGCUCAACUCCGGAACUGCAUCCGAUACUGCCGUGCUAGAGCACUGAAGAGGUGACCGGAAUUCUCGGUGUAGCAGUGAAAUGCGUGGAUAUCGAGAGGAACACCAAAGGCGAAGGCAGGUCACUGGGCAGUUGCUGACACU
rnacentral:rRNA from 1 species